rnacentral:rRNA from 1 species
AUACGGAGGGUCCAAGCGUUAUCCGGAAUCAUUGGGUUUAAAGGGUCCGCAGGCGGUCAAUUAAGUCAGAGGUGAAAGUCCAUCGCUCAACGAUGGAACUGCCUUUGAUACUGGUUGACUUGAGUUAUACGGAAGUAGAUAGAAUAAGUAGUGUAGCGGUGAAAUGCAUAGAUAUUACUUAGAAUACCGAUUGCGAAGGCAGUCUACUACGUAUAUACUGACGCUGAGGGACGAAAGCGUGGGGAGCGAACAGGAUUAGAUACCCUAGUAGUCC